UACGGAGGAUGCAAGCGUUAUCCGGAUUCAUUGGGUUUAAAGGGUGCGUAGGCGGAAUAAUAAGUCAGUGGUGAAAGCCUGUGGCUCAACCAUAGAAUUGCCAUUGACACUGCUAUUCUUGAGUAUAGUUGAAGUGGGCGGAAUGUGUAAUGUAGCGGUGAAAUGCUUAGAUAUUACACAGAACACCAAUUGCGAAGGCAGCUCACUAAGCUGUUACUGACGCUGAGGCACGAAAGCGUGGGGAGCAAACAGG
rnacentral:rRNA from 1 species